CCUGAUAGCUCAGUUGGUAAAGCAUCCACCUGUAAUGCAGAAGACCCUGGUUCGAUUCCUGGUUGGG
rnacentral:tRNA from 1 species